rnacentral:rRNA from 1 species
CAGUCGCCGCGGGAAUGCGUAGGUGGCAAGCGUUGUCCGGAAUUAUUGGGCGUAAAGGGCUCGCAGGCGGUUUCUUAAGUCUGAUGUGAAAGCCCCCGGCUCAACCGGGGAGGGUCAUUGGAAACUGGGAAACUUGAGUGCAGAAGAGGAGAGUGGAAUUCCACGUGUAGCGGUGAAAUGCGUAGAGAUGUGGAGGAACACCAGUGGCGAAGGCGACUCUCUGGUCUGUAACUGACGCUGAGGAGCGAAAGCGCGGGGAGCGAACAGGAUUAGAUACCCGCGUAGUCCCUGUCUCUUAUAC